rnacentral:misc_RNA from 1 species
GAUGAAGAACGUAGCGAAAUGCGAUAAGUAGUGUGAAUUGCAGAAUUCAGUGAAUCAUCGAAUCUUUGAACGCACAUUGCGCCCUUUGGUAUUCCUUAGGGCAUGCCUGUUCGAGCGUCAUUUAAACCUUCAAGCUCAGCUUGGUGUUGGGUGACUGUCCGCCGCCUCCGGGCGGCCGGACUCGCCUCAAAUUGAUUGGCGGCCGGUACUUUGGCUUCGAGCGCAGCAGAAACGCGAACUCGAGGCCGUCGUCCUGGCUCCCAGAAGCUAUCUUCACAAUUUUGACCUCGGAUCAGGUAGGGAUACCCGCUGAACUUAAGCAUAUCAAUAAGCGGAGGA